rnacentral:rRNA from 1 species
UACGUAGGGUGCAAGCGUAUUCGAAUUACUGGGCGUAAAGCGUGCGCAGGCGGUUUGUUAAGACAGAUGUGAAAUCCCCGGGCUCAACCUGGGAACUGCAUCUGUGACUGCAUCGCUGGAGUGCGGCAGAGGGGGAUGGAAUUCCGGCGUGUAGCAGUGAAAUGCGUAGAUAUGCGGAGGAACACCGAUGGCGAAGGCAAUCCCCUGGGCCUGCACUGACGCUCAUGCACGAAAGCGUGGGGAGCAAACAGG